rnacentral:rRNA from 1 species
UACGUAGGGUGCAAGCGUUAAUCGGAAUUACUGGGCGUAAAGCGUGCGCAGGCGGUGAUGUAAGACAGAUGUGAAAUCCCCGGGCUCAACCUGGGAACUGCAUUUGUGACUGCAUCGCUGGAGUGCGGCAGAGGGGGAUGGAAUUCCGCGUGUAGCAGUGAAAUGCGUAGAUACGCGGAGGAACACCGAUGGCGAAGGCAAUCCCCUGGGCCUGCACUGACGCUCAUGCACGAAAGCGUGGGGAGCAAACAGG